GAGCUUAACAUGCAGUCGAACGGCAGCACGGACUUCGGUCUGGUGGCGAGUGGCGAACGGGUGAGUAAUGUAUCGGAACGUGCCUAGUAGCGGGGGAUAACUACGCGAAAGCGUAGCUAAUACCGCAUACGCCCUACGGGGGAAAGCAGGGGAUCGCAAGACCUUGCACUAUUAGAGCGGCCGAUAUCGGAUUAGCUAGUUGGUGGGGUAACGGCUCACCAAGGCGACGAUCCGUAGCUGGUUUGAGAGGACGACCAGCCACACUGGGACUGAGACACGGCCCAGACUCCUACGGGAGGCAGCAUUGGGGAAUUUUGGACAAUGGGG
rnacentral:rRNA from 1 species